GGUGAGAUGGCCGAGUGGUUAUGGCGCUGCGUUCAGGUUAAUCCUGAAUAUAUCUAUCUCUGUUUUCCAUCUGGAUAAACAGAAAAUAUCGCAGUGGAGCAAUCCGCGUGGGUUCGAGUCCCACUCUCAUCA